rnacentral:rRNA from 1 species
GACGAACGCUGGCGGCGUGCUUAACACAUGCAAGUCGAACGGAAAGGCCCUGCUUUUGUGGGGUGCUCGAGUGGCGAACGGGUGAGUAACACGUGAGUAACCUGCCCUUGACUUUGGGAUAACUUCAGGAAACUGGGGCUAAUACCGGAUAGGAGCUCCUGCUGCAUGGUGGGGGUUGGAAAGUUUCGGCGGUUGGGGAUGGACUCGCGGCUUAUCAGCUUGUUGGUGGGGUAGUGGCUUACCAAGGCUUUGACGGGUAGCCGGCCUGAGGGGGUGUCCGGCCACAUUGGGACUGAGAUACGGCCCAGACUCCUACGGGAGGCAGCAGUGGGGAAUAUUGCACAAUGGGCGGAAGCCUGAUGCAGCAACGCCGCGUGCGGGAUGACGGCCUUCGGGUUGUAAACCGCUUUCGCCUGUGACGAAGCGUGAGUGACGGUAAUGGGUAAAGAAGCACCGGCUAACUACGUG